GGCGGCAUGCCUAACACAUGCAAGUCGAACGUGAUCCAUGACUUCGGUUGUGGUGAAAGUGGCAAACGGGUGAGUAACGCGUGGGAAUCUGCCCAAAGGUAGGGAAUAACCGCGGGAAACUGCGGCUAAUACCCUAUGUGCCCUACGGGGCAAAGAUUUAUCGCCUUUGGAGGAGCCCGCGUCGGAUUAGGUAGUUGGUAGGGUAACGGCCUACCAAGCCUACGAUCCGUANCUGGUCUGAGAGGAUGAUCAGCCACACUGGGACUGAGAUACGGCCCAGACUCCUACGGGAGGCAGCAGUGGGGAAUAUUGGACAAUGGGGGCAACCCUGAUCCAUCAAUGCCGCGUGAGUGAUGAAGGCCUUCGGGUUGUAAAGCUCUUUCGGCGGGGAANAUGAUGACGGUNCCCGCAGAANAANCCCCGGCUAACUUCGUGCCAGCAGCCGCGGUAAU
rnacentral:rRNA from 1 species